rnacentral:rRNA from 1 species
AGCUCAGUAACACGUGGCCAAACUACCCUUCGGAGCACAAUACCCUCGGGAAACUGAGGCUAAUAGUGCAUACCACAGUCCAGCUGGAAUGAGGACUGUGCCAAACGCUCCGGCGCCGAAGGAUGUGGCUGCGGCCGAUUAGGUAGACGGUGGGGUAACGGCCCACCGUGCCAAUAAUCGGUACGGGUCAUGAGAGUGAGAACCCGGAGACGGAAUCUGAGACAAGAUUCCGGGCCCUACGGGGCGCAGCAGGCGCGAAACCUUUACACUGCACGCCAGUGCGAUAAGGGAAUCCCAAGUGCGCAGGCAUAGAGCCUGCGCUUUUGUACACCGUAGGGAGGUGUACGAAUAAGGGCUGGGCAAGACCGGUGCCAGCCGCCGCGGUAAUACCGGCAGCCCGAGUGAUGGCCGAUCUUAUUGGGCCUAAAGCGUCCGUAGCUGGCCGCACAAGUCCAUCGGAAAAUCCACCCGCCCAACGGGUGGGCGUCCGGUGGAAACUGUGUGGCUUGGGACCGGAAGGCGCGACGGGUACGUCCGGGGUAGGAGUGAAAUCCCGUAAUCCUGGACGGACCGCCGAUGGCGAAAGCACGUCGCGAGGACGGAUCCGACAGUGAGGGACGAAAGCCAGGGUCUCGAACCGGAUUAGAUACCCGGGUAGUCCUGGCCGUAAACAAUGUCUGUUAGGUGUGGCUCCCACUACGAGUGGGUGCUGUGCCGUAGGGAAGCCGCUAAACAGA